ACAUCUGGGAGGUCACAGAGGCCCAAUAAGAGGGCCUGGCAGGUCAGGAGAAAGAGAGCAGCAGAGAUGGCGGAGUAGCUGGUGGCAGGCGGCGGCCGCAAGCGCCGGCGGCGGCACUGGUGCGGUUUGGUGCAACAGUACGUGGCGACGGCAUACGAUGGCCAGCGCGUGGAGAGGCAGAGCUAAAAAUUUUCUCCUGACAACAUGUGCAAAACUCUUUGGGCCCUUUGACACCAAGCAUCAGUGUGGCAGUCUCCUGACAGAGGCACACGAGGAAAAAAACACCAACUCCAAAU